UAUAAAGGAAAAUUUAGUCAUAAACUGCCACAAAACAAAAAGAACAGUCCAACAGUAGGAAGAAAAUUCUUCAAGGACUUAAGAUACCUGAAACAUGUCAAAAGUACUGACUUCCGUUUUGGUAGUUUUUGGUUUCACUGUAGUCUUAAGUCUACCUGCCAAACGGUCACCAUUUACAAUGGGUCUAGGUGACCUUGAACACACUCGACAAUUACCAGGCAGAGUACGAGAAUUUGACAUGAAUGGUGAUGGAGCAUUAGACAUGAAAGAAUUAGAAUUUUAUUUCAAAUCCACAUUUGAUGACGUGGACCACAUAUCACAAAAUGUAAGAGAAGUCUUCUAUGUUCUUGACACCAAUGGCGAUCGGUUAAUUGAUGGUCAAGAAAUUGAACCAUUACACAACCUGUAACAGGAUAGAAAAUUGCAGGAUAGAACCUGAAGGAUGCUCGUGGCAUACAUUUGACAUUUUCAUUUUUUUCAAUCAUUUUUCAUUAAAAUUCAUUUUUUAA